rnacentral:lncRNA from 1 species
ACAACGAAAAAUAACACUAAAAACAUAAUUUUAUUAUAUGAUUUGGCCAAUUGGCCUACAUAUAAAACCUAAUAUUUAAAAUAAUAUUAAAAAUCCUAAAACUUAUUGGGAGAAAUCUCCCCCUUAACAAAGACUCUUUAAAGACUACACUGUGGAUGCUAUUGUGUUAUGGUAUGAGAUGGGGGUGUUCUAUUUAUAGAGUUUCAAAACCUUUCCUCCAAGAAAGUGGUUAGUCAAAUAUGAAAAAGAAUUAUAUUUUUUCUUUCAGGAAAAGUAAAAGUAAUUAUGGUAACUUUUAUUUUCCUUCUAAGAAAAAAUAAAACCUAAAUAUAGUAAGAAAAUCAGGGCAAAAACCCUAACAAAUCUCCUUUUUUUGGCUUGAUUUUCUUUUAUUGAUCCGUCUUCUCUUCAUAUCAUGGGCAUGAACUUCGUUCUUGAUAUAAUCUUCAUAACUGCUGCUUGUCAUGGUUAAAAAUAAGGUUUAAAAUAUCAUGGUUAAAAAUUGGUUUAAAAGUAAUAUUUUAUUUUUAUUUUUAAAGAUGUAGCAACAGGAAUGUUGAAAAUAUGGUUGAAAUUUGUUCUCCACAUGUAGUUCGACAAAAAUCUUCAUUAUCGCCCAAAUUGUUGCAGCUUGAUUUUGAAACUGCUUUGAAUCUGUUUAAUCUCGUCUCACCACAUCAUUGGACCAUUGAACCGUAAGCUAUGAUACCACUUGUUGGGUUCGAAAUCAAGAGAGCGUCAUGCGGAAGCUAUUAGUUGCAAACUAUGAGACGAUAAAUAAGAUGACAACGAAAAAUAAUACUAAAAACAUAAUUUUAUUAUAUGAUUUGGCCAAUUGGCCUACAUAUAAAACCUAAUAUUAAAAAUCCUAAAUUGGCCUACAUAUAAAACCUAAUAUUAAAAAUCCUAAAACAUAUUGAUAGAAAUCUCCCCCUAAACAAAGAUUCUUUAAAGACUACAUUGUAGAUGCUAUUGUGUUAUGGUAUGAGAAGGGGGUGUUUUAUUUAUAGAGUUCCAAAUCUUUUCCUCCAAGAAAGAGGUUAGCUAAAUAUGGAAAAGAAUUAUAUUUUUUCUUUCAGGAAAAGUAAAAGUAAUUAUGGUAAUUUUUAUUUUUGAAAAAAUAAAAAUUAAAUAUAGUAAGAAAAUCAGGACAAAACCUCUGACAAAUUGUAGGGUUGAUCUUCGGCAUAAUUUUGUAAAUAUCAUUGACUGGCUUUAUGCCCCACCACGUCUUGAAAUUUGUGCCAUAAUUUGAUUAAUAUGUUGGAUGACCAGAGGAUUUCCUAGCGUGCUCCACACUUGUGUUGUUGCUUAGUCUUCUCCAAAAAUUUUGAUACCUUGUAUCACUUUGUACAUUCCUACAACAAAAACAAUCAUUUUGUGAGUUGAUAUUCAUUCUAAUAAUUAUGUCAUUGAAAGAAAGUCUCUUUUUAAACAUUCUCCAUAAGGAUAUUUUAAAAGGCAUCCUAGUAUGCUAGAGAUUGU